UGAACGCUGGCGGCGUGCCUAAUACAUGCAAGUCGAGCGAACCACUUCGGUGGUGAGCGGCGAACGGGUGAGUAACACGUAGGUGAUCUGCCCAUCAGACGGGGACAACGAUUGGAAACGAUCGCUAAUACCGGAUAGGACGAAAGUUUAAAGGUGCUCCUGGCACCGCUGAUGGAUGAGCCUGCGGCGCAUUAGCUAGUUGGUAGGGUAAAGGCCUACCAAGGCGACGAUGCGUAGCCGACCUGAGAGGGUGAACGGCCACACUGGGACUGAGACACGGCCCAGACUCCUACGGGAGGCAGCAGUAGGGAAUCUUCGGCAAUGGGCGAAAGCCUGACCGAGCAACGCCGCGUGAAUGAUGAAGGCCUUCGGGUUGUAAAAUUCUGUUAUAAGGGAAGAACGGCUUUAGUAGGAAAUGGCUAAAGUGUGACGGUACCUUAUGAGAAAGCCACGGCUAACUACGUGCCAGCAGCCGCGGUAAUACGUAGGUGGCAAGCGUUAUCCGGAAUUAUUGGGCGUAAAGAGCGCGCAGGUGGUUGAUUAAGUCUGAUGUGAAAGCCCACGGCUUAACCGUGGAGGGUCAUUGGAAACUGGUCGACUUGAGUGCAGAAGAGGGAAGUGGAAUUCCAUGUGUAGCGGUGAAAUGCGUAGAGAUAUGGAGGAACACCAGUGGCGAAGGCGGCUUCCUGGUCUGUAACUGACACUGAGGCGCGAAAGCGUGGGGAGCAAACAGGAUUAGAUACCCUGGUAGUCCACGCCGUAAACGAUGAGUGCUAAGUGUUGGGGGUCGAACCUCAGUGCUGAAGUUAACCCAUUAAGCACUCCCCCUGGGGAGUACGGUCCCAAGAUUGAACUCAAAUGAUUGACGG
rnacentral:rRNA from 1 species